rnacentral:rRNA from 1 species
CCUACGGGAGGCAGCAGUGAGGAAUAUUGGUCAAUGGGCGCAACCCUGAACCAGCCAAGUCGCGUGAGGGAAGACGGCCCUACGUGUUGUAAACCUCUUUUGCCGGGGAGAAAACCUGAGCACGUGUGCCCAGGCGGCGAGUACCCGGAGAGACAGCAUCGGCUAACUCCGUGCCAGCAGCCGCGGGAAUACGGAGGAAUCGAGCGUUAGCCGGAUUUGUUUGGUUUAAAGGGUGCGUAUGCGGGGGGUUAAGUCAGCAGUGAAAAUUCCAGGCCCACACCCGGCCGAGCGGUGGGAACUGGGAGUCUUGAGUGGGCGAGAGGUAAGUGGAAUGCGUGGUGUAGCGGUGAAAUGCGUAGAUAUCACGCAGAACGCCGGUUGCGAAGGCAGCAUACCGG